rnacentral:lncRNA from 1 species
UGAGACCUUCCUGCAGGGCCACAGCAAGCAAAGGGUUUACAAUUUGUUUAGAUUUCGACCUCAAAUGGGAAGAUCAUAUCAUUUUCCUAAUACCUUGUGGAAUUAUCAUGAGGAUUACAAAAUCGAAUGCGUGGAAAAUAGGUCAGAUCCUAGCAUAUGAUAAGUAUGUAUUUGUUAUUAUUUUCACUCCUGUAAAAAUUCUGGGCUUCACUUGUCUGGGACCCUAUGUUUCUAUCCCUGUAUCAAUCCAGCAUCCCAAGAAUUUGUGGAAGAGGAGCAAAGGAGGAUUGGAAGUCAGAGUUACAUUAUUUAAAGGCGCUGGUAUCCAUGGCUGAGAAACCCAUGGACAGUUCACAUUAGAGGACUCUGUGCAGACAACCCCAGUACCAGCCCGAAGACUCACUGCGUGGCUACAUCCAGACGAGAGACAACAAUCACUGCAGUUUGGCUCGCAGGAUGCCACAUCCAUAGGAAAACGGGGAGAGGACUACAUCAAGGGAACACCCCAUGGAGCAAAAGAAUCUGAACCCCGCCUUCAGCCCUAGACCUUCUCUCUGACAGAGCCCAAAUGAGAAAGAACCAGAAAACCAACCCUGGUAAUAUGACAAAACAAGGUUCUUCAGCAACCCCAAAAUCACACUGGUUCACCAGCAGUUGAUCCAAACUAAGAAGAAAUCCUUGAUUUACCUUGAUUUACCUGAAAAAGAAUUCAGGAGGUUAAUUGUUAAGCUAAUCAGGGAGGAACCAGAGAAA